AUGGGGUCAGCCUGGAUCACGUCAGGUCGCGGGACCGGGCCCGGCACGCCGACCGGUCACUUCUGGGGUCAUCCGCCGUCGGGGUGGUGGAUUUCUCCGUUUGGGGCGCCGCCAAUCCUUUUGCCAUCGGUGUGACAUUGGGGAACCCCUCAAGGGAGUUGUAUGUUCAGAUCAAUACAGACAGCGAUAUUUUGUGGGUGGCAUGCAAUCCUUGCAAUGAUGGCCAACAUCCAGCGGGUUGAAAAUGCAGCAGCU